rnacentral:rRNA from 2 species
CAGCCGCCGCGGUAAAACCAGCACCUCAAGUGGUCAGGAUGAUUAUUGGGCCUAAAGCAUCCGUAGCUCGUUUUGUAAGUUUUCGGUUAAAUCCAUACGCUUAACGUAUGGGCUGCCGGGAAUACUGCAUAACUAGGAAGUGGGAGAGGUAGACGGUACUCGGUAGGAAGGGGUGAAAUCCUUUGAUCUAUUGAUGACCACCUGUGGCGAAGGCGGUCUACCAGAACACGUUCGACGGUGAGGGAUGAAAGCUGGGGGAGCAAACCGGAUUAGAUACCCGGGUAGUCCCAGCUGUAAACGAUGCAGACUCGGCGAUGCAUUGGCUUGUGGCCAAUGCAGUGCCGCAGGGAAGCCGUUAAGUCUGCCGCCUGGGAAGUACGUACGCAAGUAUGAAACUUAAAGGAAUUGGCGGGGGAGCAC